GCAACAAUAAGCCCGCUCAGUACGACAGGAACCGCAGGUUCGGACAUUUGGUGCGUGUGCUUGGCUGAGGAGCCAAUGGUGCGAAGCUACCAUCCGUGGGAUUAUGACUGAACG
rnacentral:ncRNA from 1 species